ACUGUCAGAAGCUGAUCCAUUUGUAUACUCAGAAUCUUGGUUUCUCAUUUUCCACAUUCAACUUCAAGAACCCAAAUUGGCCUUGAAUAUAACUUAUGGGUGCAAUUGUUCAUGAAUAUCAUUCUGUGCUUCGCUUUCCCACUUUCUUCUCUUUCAGCAAGCAGCCCAAGCUGGGAAAAUCCAUUUUCUCUUUGAAAGCUUGUUAAAUUUGGCUGAGAUUGCAGAUGUGCCUUCACCCUUCGAGCGAAAGGGCCUUCACUUAACUGUGUCCUGCAUUGGAUCUGAAGGAAAUGGAGGAGACCAACCUCCUCGGAGGCGUUCAGCUUCAGGAAGAACGAAUAAGAACGAUGGAACCAAGAAACGUGGACCAGCUGGUAAAAAAUCUAAAGCAUCUGACCAGGAAGAGAUCAUUUCUCUAUUCAGACGGAUACAGACUUCGAUCUCCAACAAAGAGUCUGUAAAUGCUAAGAAGAUAAAUUCCAAUGUCUCUGAAGAUAGCCCCUCUUCCGAGUCAAUUCUUCAGGCUCUUUAUGGAUCGAGGAAGCAAAAAGGCAAAGCUUUAGACAAGGCAGGGCAAGAGGUCUGGACAAGGAGGAAAGAUUCGCAAGAGCAGCAAAUACAGGAGGAUCCCUCAGUUGCAGAGUUCAAGUUAACGCGCCCACUGUCUAAAUUUGUGAAAAGAUCUCCGAUUCCAUCUCAAUCAAUCCCAAGAGGACAAGUUCUUGAGCUGAAUAACGGAGCAUCAUCUUCUGCGGCUGGAAGAAUAGAAGAAAUGAAACUCCCUGAGUUGAAAGAACUGGCAAAGACCAGAGGAAUUAAAGGUUACUCGAAACUUAAAAAGAGCGAGCUCGUUCAACUGCUGAAGUCCUAAAGCAAUGUAAAACCUUGCCCUGUAUAUUUGUACCAGAGCAUUAUAUGUAAGUGACAGAUUGAAUUUCACCUUACGUUCUUCAAAAUGUUGUGCAGUCCUAGCUACCCACAUUUUACAGGGUGGCCACCGAAGUAUGGUUGUUUUUAAACUCAAAACUCAAUGCUCUCUGGCUCCUAAUUGAUUUUAGGGUUCUGAUA